CUGGUUCUCCCCGAAAUAUAUUGAGGUAUAGCCUCAUGGAUUGUCUACCGGAGGUAAAGCACUGACAGGGCUAGGGGUCCUACCAGAUUACCAAACCCUAUCAAACUCAGAAUGCCGGUCAGAUGUACCAUGGGAGUCAGACGGCGGGUGCUAAGGUCCGUCGUCGAGAGGGUAAGAGCCCAGAUCAACAGCUAAGGUCUCCAAAUCCAUGCUCAGUGGUUAAGGUGGUGACGUUGUAGAGACACCCAGGACGUUGGCUUAGAAGCAGCCAUCGUUUAAAGAAAGCGUAAUAGCUCACUGGUCUAAUGACGUUGCGCCGAAAAUGUAACGGGGCUAAGCAUGGUACCGAAGCUUUGAAUUCCGCGUAAGCGGUCUGGUAGGGGAGCGUUCUUCACGGGCAGAAGGUGUGUCGCAAGGCAUGCUGGACUGUGGAGAAGUGAUUAUGCUGACAUGAGUAACGAUAAAACGGGUGAAAAACCCGUUCGCCGUAAACCCAAGGUUUUCCGGGUAAAGGUAAUCUUCCCGGAGUUAGUCGGCCCCUAAGGCGAGGCUGAAAGGCGUAGCUGAUGGGAAACGUGUUAAUAUUCACGUACUUGUGUGUUCGCGCGAUGAAGGGACGCAGGAAGAUAGGCAAGCCGGGCGCUGGUUGUCCCGGUGCAAGCGUGUAGGGAUGAGGAGUUGGCAAAUCCGCUUCUCUCUAUCCUGAGACGCGAGUCCGUGCCCGCAAGGGCUGAAGUUGUCGAGUCUAUGCUGCCUAGAAAAGCUUCUAAGUAUAGGACACGCAAACCGUACCGGAAACCAACUCAGGUGGGUGGGAUGAAUAAUCCAAGGCGCUCGAGAGAACUCUGGCCAAGGAACUCGGCAAAAUAACCCCGUACCUUCGGAAGAAGGGGUGCUUUUUAGGGUGAAACGAUUCACUCUGUCGAGCCCUGAAAAGCCGCAGAGAAAUGGUGGUGGCGACUGUUUACUAAAAACAUAGGUCUGUGCCAAGUCGUAUAGACGACGUAUACGGACUGACGCCUGCCCGGUGCUGGAAGGUUAAAAGGAGGAGUCAGCGCAAGCGAAGCUCCGAAUUGAAGCCCCAGUAAACGGCGGCCGUAACUAUAACGGUCCUAAGGUAGCGAAAUUCCUUGUCGGGUAAGUUCCGACCUGCACGAAUGGCGUAACGAUCUCCACACUGUCUCGGCCAGAGACUCGGUGAAAUUGAAGUCGCGGUGAAAAUGCCGUGUACCCGCAGAAAGACGGAAAGACCCUGUGCACCUUUACUAUAGCUUGACAUUGGGAUUUGAGCCUGCAUGUGUAGCAUAGGUGGGAGCCCGUGAACCCUGUACGCCAGUAUGGGGGGAGGCAACGUUGAAAUACCACCCUUGUUUGUUCAGGUCCCUAACUCUUCGUCGUUACCCGGUAAGAGGACAGUGUCUGGUGGGUAGUUUGACUGGGGCGGUCGCCUCCCAAAAUGUAACGGAGGCAUGCAAAGGUUCCCUCAGGCUGAUUGGAAACCAGCCGUCGAGUGCAAACGCAGAAGGGAGCUUGACUGCAAGAGAGACAUCUCGAGCAGGUACGAAAGUAGGUGUUAGUGAUCCGGUGAUCCCGAAUGGAAGGGU
rnacentral:rRNA from 1 species